rnacentral:rRNA from 1 species
GAUGAACGCUGGCGGCGUGCCUAACACAUGCAAGUCGAGCGUGAACCGUCUGAAUGAAACUUCGGUCGAGUGAGGAUGGGGAAAGCGGCGGACGGGUGAGUAACGCGUAGGCAACCUGCCCCGUACAGAGGGAUAGCCUCGGGAAACCGGGAUUAAGACCUCAUAAUACCAUUAUCUCACAUGUGAUAAUGGUCAAAGAUUUUAUCGGUAUGGGAUGGGCCUGCGUCUGAUUAGCUGGUUGGUGGGGUAACGGCUCACCAAGGCGACGAUCGGUAGCUGGUCUGAGAGGAUGAUCAGCCACACUGGCACUGAGACACGGGCCAGACUCCUACGGGAGGCAGCAGUGGGGAAUAUUGGGCAAUGCCCGCAAGGGUGACCCAGCAACGCCGCGUGAAGGAAGAAGGCCGUAAGGUUGUAAACUUCGACAAAGCAGGGAAGAAAGGCUAUAAUAAAAGGUUAAUAGUUUGACGGUACCUGCCUGAAGCCUCGGCUAACUACGUGCC